AGUACAGUGGCAGUACGCCGCAUUCGCAUUGCGGAGACGCGAGUUCGAUUCUCGCUAAGUCCA
rnacentral:tRNA from 1 species